GAUGAACGCUGACAGAAUGCUUAACACAUCAGCAAUUGAUUGGUGGCGGACGGGUGAGUAACGCGUAUAGAACUUGCCUCCCAGCUAGGGACAACAUUUUGAAAUGAAUGCUAAUAUCUGAUACUGUGAGAGAGCUUUGCGUCCCAUUAGAUAGUUGGAGAGGUAACAGCUCACCAAGGCGAUGAUGGGUAGCCGGCCUGAGAGGGUGAACGGCCACAAGGGGAAUGAGACACGGGGCUGAGUCCUACGGGAGGCAGCAGUGGGGAAUAUUAGGCAAUAGACCGGAGUCUGGUCCAGCAAUUCUGUGUGGACGAUGAAGUUUUCGGAAUGUAAAGUGCUUUCAGUUGGGGAGCGGUACCAACAGAAGAAGUGACGGCUAAAUACGUGCCAGCCGCCGCGGUAAUAC
rnacentral:rRNA from 1 species